ensembl:lncRNA
CUAGUGGUUAGAGUGUAGGGGCGACAGGUAGCCUAGUGGUUAGAGUGUAGGGGAGACAGGUAGCCUAGUGGUUAGAGUGUAGGGGCUACAGGUAGCCUAGUGGUUAGAGUGUAGGGGCAACAGGUAGCCUAGUGGUUAGAGUGUAGGGGCAACAGGUAGCCUAGUGGUUAGAGUGUAGGGGCAACAGGUAGCCUAGUGGUUAGAGUGUAGGGGCGACAGGUAGUCUAGUGGUUAGAGUGUAGGGGCGGCAGGUAGCCUAGUGGUUAGAGUGUAGGGGCGACAGGUAGCCUAGCGGUAUGAGAUUUCUGUGUUAUGCACUAUAGACCGU